GCCCCUUUACUCAACGAAACGCCCCUUCACACUACACGACACUCUGAUUGGCUCUCAAGAGACUGCGUCUGAAACGUGAUGAAGUUUACGUUGACCGAGUAUGAAGAGAGAACCCGAAAAAGUAACACGGGAAAAACACGGGAAAAUGACGGAGGAAAAGAGCAACACUACGUUCAGUGAAGGAGCAGACCCUGAGCUGAGAAGAUGCGACUCGGACACUUAUCAGUGUCUGAUCUGCACAAAAAAGGGGAGCUAUGCAAAGCUUGUGUCUCAUCUGCAGGGACACCAAAGGUCAAUGGUGGAGUACGGUGGAAAGGGCCCAACAAGCCCAACAGAAGCGACGCGAGGCAUGUUGUCUGUUAACCAGUGUAAUCACAGAGGAUCAGGGCAUGCUGCAACACCUUGAAAACAUCAUCACAGGCAACACGGUGUCUCCUUGGGCCAAGAAACAGGACAGGGUCAUCCUUCUUUUUGAAGACGAUGAACAAGUGGACAAAGUCAUGCACUUCUUGUCUGAAGUACUCGAACGUACUGAGACAGACAAGAAGUCUGCAGAUCCAGUCGCAUUCGUAAUGGAUGUACUUUUGCCAGAGGCAACAGUAUAAAGUGAACAGCCCUCGGAGCUGUUCACUCCAUCUCCCUGGACAAAGCCAAGGAGAUGUACAUGCGUGGCACAGAGUUUGACUCAAGCGAGAAAACCCAGCUUGGGGAACAGCUUCAGAGCCACAUUUCCUCAAAAGCGAGGCAGAAACUGGAUAGCUUCCUGAGCAAUUACAAGAAAGCCUUGGAGUGUGAGGAAUUCCUCAGGCGCCUGUAAUCCCUGGGUAGUGAAUGUGUCUGCUGGAUAGUCUGUUGUGUAUAAAAUAAAGAAAAUAUAUCAUUCA